UACAGAGGUCUCGAGCGUUAGGCGGAAUCACUGGGCUUAAAGCGUGUGUAGGUGGAUGCCUAAGUACCUUGUGAAAUCCCAUGGCUUAACCGUGGAACUGCUUGGUAUACUGGGUGUCUUGAGUCACUCAGGGGCGAGCGGAACAAAUGGUGGAGCGGUGAAAUGCGUAGAUAUCAUUUGGAACGCCAAUGGUGAAAACAGCUCGCUGGGGGUGCACUGACACUGAGACACGAAAGCCAGGGGAGCGAACGGG
rnacentral:rRNA from 1 species